rnacentral:rRNA from 1 species
AGAGUUUGAUCUGGCUCAGGACGAACGCUGGCGGCGUGCUUAACACAUGCAAGUCGAACGAUGAACCAGGGCUUGCCCUGGGGAUUAGUGGCGAACGGGUGAGUAACACGUGGGCAACCUGCCCCUGACUCUGGGAUAACUCCGGGAAACCGGGGCUAAUACCGGAUAUGAGCCUCGACGACAUCGUCGAGGCUGGAAAGUUUUUCGGUCAGGGAUGGGCCCGCGGCCUAUCAGCUUGUUGGUGGGGUAAUGGCCUACCAAGGCGACGACGGGUAGCCGGCCUGAGAGGGCGACCGGCCACACUGGGACUGAGACACGGCCCAGACUCCUACGGGAGGCAGCAGUGGGGAAUAUUGCGCAAUGGGCGAAAGCCUGACGCAGCGACGCCGCGUGAGGGACGACGGCCUUCGGGUUGUAAACCUCUUUCAGCAGGGACGAAGCGAAAGUGACGGUACCUGCAGAAGAAGCACCGGCCAACUACGUGCCAGCAGCCGCGGUA